ACAUUUGCACAUAAACAUGGACUUCACAUGCUUAUUCCUUUAUUAUAUAUGAUGAUAGGAUCUUAUGAGAACAUCCUGAAUUCGAAUAAAAUUGUUUUGCCUUAUCAUUCAUUUAUUAUAUCAUUUGAAAUCAAUUGACUGAUCACAGUGAUGUAUUGUGACCAUGAUAAUGAUAUCAUUCCAACGUUAUAAUGUAACGAUGUCACACUGGUGUUGCUAUGACAUCAUUCCGAAUUUGGGCAUGAUACUGAAAGAUUUAAAUGAAGGCAUUUUCACUGCCAUCUCCAAAAUACUUUACACCCUUGAGUGAUCUCACCCCAAGAUAGCUUAUGUUAGCUAUGGGGCCAUGGGAAGUCUGUAGGCCAAGUUUGGUCCUAAGAGAUGAAAUAGUACAGGAGCCAAACAGAAUAGAUAGACAAACAUCCAUUUUUUUUAUAUAUAUAGAUAUUGCAAUAGGACAUUGUCAGAUUUGCUGCAUGAAAAUGCUUCAAUCUUCUAACCAAAGAUUUGGGAUCAAAUUAGAAUUCUAUCAGUUGGAAAAUAUAUAUGAAAGAUCAGGGGCAGCUCAUUGGAUUCCCAUUCUCUACAAUUGGACUGAUCUCUGCAGACUUAAGUAAUGUGUAUAAGGUCUGGAAUGGCAUUGCUAUUAGCAAAUGAUUGAGAACUGAUGUUAAGAAAAACUAAUCAUUGACAGAGCAACUGAAUUAUAGAUUUCUUUUAUUAAAAAAUAAUUAUCUUUCCUGAAAAUUAUAACACAACUGCUAUGUAACAUUUUUAAUUUAAUUUUACAAUUAAAUUAUGCCUUUCAUUAUUUUAUUCCAUUAUUGAACAAUACAUUAAUGAUUAGAAAAUAAAAAUUACCAAUUAGUACCAGGAAAGUAGAUACCAGUA
rnacentral:lncRNA from 1 species